rnacentral:rRNA from 1 species
AACGAACGCUGGCGGCGUGCUUAACACAUGCAAGUCGAACGGUGAAGCGCCUUCCUUUUUGGUGGGUGUGGAUGAGUGGCGAACGGGUGAGUAACACGUGAGUAACCUGCCCCCUUCUUCUGGAUAACCGCAUGAAAGUGUGGCUAAUACGGGAUAUUCUGGGUCUGUCGCAUGAUGGGUCUGGGAAAGAUAUUGUUUCGGUGGGGGAUGGGCUCGCGGCCUAUCAGCUUGUUGGUGGGGUGAUGGCCUACCAAGGCGGUGACGGGUAGCCGGCCUGAGAGGGUGGACGGUCACACUGGGACUGAGACACGGCCCAGACUCCUACGGGAGGCAGCAGUGGGGAAUAUUGCACAAUGGGCGCAAGCCUGAUGCAGCGACGCCGCGUGAGGGAUGGAGGCCUUCGGGUUGUGAACCUCUUUCGCCAGUGAAGCAGGCCUGCCUCGUUUGUGGGUGGGUUGACGGUAGCUGGAUAAGAAGCGCCGGCUAACUACGUG